rfam:Colletotrichum gloeosporioides Cg-14 contig01561, whole genome shotgun sequence.
GCGAGAAUGGUGUAGGGGUAACAUAGCGGCUUCCCAUGCCGCUGCUCCGGGUUCGAGUCCCGGUUCUCGCA